rnacentral:rRNA from 1 species
CCUGGUUGAUCCUGCCAGUAGUCAUAUGCUUGUCUCAAAGAUUAAGCCAUGCAUGUCUAAGUACAAGCCUCACUAAGGUGAAACCGCGAAUGGCUCAUUAAAUCACACCUAAUGUACUGGACAGUCUCAGUUACUUGGAUAACUGCGGUAAUUCUGGAGCUAAUACAUGCGUACUAGCCGCGACUCACGGAGCGGUGCUUUUAUUAGAUCAAAACCAAACGGCCUCGAGCCGUCCCCCUGGUGAUUCUGAAUAACUUUGGGCUGAUCGCACGGACUCGUUCCGGCGACGUGUCCUUCCAAGGUGUGCCCUAUCAACUGUCGACUGUGGCAUAGACGCCCACAGUGGUUUUGACGGGUAACGGGGAAUUAGGGUUCGAUUCCGGAGAGGGAGCCUGAGAAACGGCUACCACUUCUACGGAAGGCAGCAGGCACGCAAAUUACCCACUGGCCGAAGGCCGAGGUAGUGACGAAAAAUAACGAUACCGGACUCAUCCGAGGCCCGGUAAUCGGAAUGAGUACACUUUAAAUCCUUUAACGAGGAACAAUUGGAGGGCAAGUCUGGUGCCAGCAGCCGCGGUAAUUCCAGCUCCAAUAGCGUAUAUUAAAGUUGUUGCGGUUAAAAAGCUCGUAGUUGGAUCUCGGCGGGCAGGGGGUGGUUCGCUCUUCAGCGCUACUGCCCCGCUUUGCCCGUGUGAUUGGCGGAGGUUUCGGGGUGCUCUUCGUUGAGUGACUCGGAGCGCCGUCAGGUUUACUUUGAAAAAAUUAGAGUGCUCAAAGCAGGCUUUUCACGCUUGAAUAUUCGUGCAUGGAAUAAUGGAAUAGGAACUCGUUUCUAUUUUGUUGGUUUUCGGAAAUCGAGUUAAUGAUUAACAGGGACAAUUGGGGGCAUUAGUAUUCAGACGACAGAGGUGAAAUUCUUGGACCGUCUGAAGACUGACUACUGCGAAAGCAUUUGCCAAGAGUGUUUUCAUUAAUCAAGAACGAAAGUUAGAGGUUCGAAGGCGAUCAGAUACCGCCCUAGUUCUAACCAUAAACGAUGCCAGCUAGCGAUCUGCCGAGUUUUUUUUGUAGGCUCCGCAGGAAGCUUUCGGGAAACCAAAGCUUUUGGGUUCCGGGGGAAGUAUGGUUGCAAAGCUGAAACUUAAAGGAAUUGACGGAAGGGCACCACCAGGAGUGGAGCCUGCGGCUUAAUUUGACUCAACACGGGAAAUCUCACCAGGCCCGGACACUGGAAGGAUUGACAGAUUGAGAGCUCUUUCUCGAUUCGGUGGGUGGUGGUGCAUGGCCGUUCUUAGUUGGUGGAGUGAUUUGUCUGGUUAAUUCCGAUAACGAACGAGACUCUGUCCUGCUAAAUAGUUGGGUCGUCCUUCGUGCGAUCCAAGUUCUUCUUAGAGGGACUGGCUGCGUCUAGC